rnacentral:misc_RNA from 1 species
AACUUUUGACAACGGAUCUCUUGGUUCCCGCAUCGAUGAAGAACGCAGCGAAAUGCGAAAACUAAUGUGAAUUGCAGAAUUCCGUGAAUCAUCGAGUCUUUGAACGCACAUUGCGCCCUUUGGUAUCCCGAAGGGCAUGCCUGUUCGAGCGUCAUUGCACCCCUCAAGCCCUGCUUGGUAUUGGGCCUCGUCCCCGUGACGUGCCUGGAAUCCAGUGGCGGUCCAGCGAGACUUCAAGCGUAGCAAGAUUUCACGAUCCCGCUUUGGAAGGUUCCUGCUGUGUGCCGGCCAGAUAACCCCACUAUGUAUCAAUGGUUGACCUCGGAUCAGGUAGGGAUACCCGCUGAACUUAAGCAUAUCAAUAAGCGGAGGCU